rnacentral:rRNA from 1 species
GACGAACCGUCCAAACGUUGUUCGGAAUCACUGGGCUUAAAGGGCGCGUAGGCGGGUUCCCAAGUCGGUGGUGAAAUCUUUCGGCCCAACCGGAAAACAGCCGCCGAUACUGGGAGUCUCGAGGGAGGUAGGGGUCGAUGGAACUCCAGGUGGAGCGGUGAAAUGCGUAGAUAUCUGGAGGAACGCCGGUGGCGAAAGCGAUCGACUGGACCUUUUCUGACGCUGAGGCGCGAAAGCCAGGGGAG